AUGCAUUUUAACACCAAAAGGGGUUGUUCAUCAUUUAUGUUUCAAAAACACUGGAAUGAGUUUCAAAGACUCUUUAAAAGAAAAAUUAGGGAAAACUAAACAUAUAAUCUACCAAAAAGUUUCUUCAAUAGAUCAUAAGAGAUCAUUGUAACUGUUCUCUUAUUAGUAUUUCCGUCCAAAACCACCUCCACCGCGGCCAUAUGAUGGGAGAGCUGCCACUGCUUGUGGCUCAGCGGCCUGCUUGACAACGCCUGGAAGGUCAGACAUGCCGAGGGCUGAAAGCAUGUCAAGGGUCUCCUUGUCAACUUCAAUGAGAUCAGUCUUGAUGGCAGAUUCAUCAGGAACAAAGUCCAUGCGUCUCUCACGUUCCUCCUCUUGCAGUUUCAGGGAGAUACCACGGACUGGUCCCUUCUGGAUACGCUUCAUGAGGUGAGUGGAGAAUCCAGCAAUCUUGUUGCGGAGACGCUUGGAGGGAAUGAUAGCGACCUCUUCAAGAAUUUUCUUGUUAGUGUGGAAGUCGAGGGUCAUGCGA
rnacentral:misc_RNA from 1 species